UACGUAGGAGGCAAGCGUUAUCCGGAAUGACUGGGUGUAAAGGGAGCGUAGGCGGUUCAGCAAGUCAGAAGUGAAAGCCCGGGGCUCAACUCCGGGACUGCUUUUGAAACUGUUGAACUAGAUUGCAGGAGAGGUAAGUGGAAUUCCUAGUGUAGCGGUGAAAUGCGUAGAUAUUAGGAGGAACACCAGUGGCGAAGGCGGCCUGCUGGGCUUUUACUGACGCUGAGGCUCGAAAGUGUGGGGAGCAAACAGG
rnacentral:rRNA from 1 species